rnacentral:tRNA from 1 species
GGAGAGGUGGCCGAGCGGUCGAAGGCGCGCCCCUGCUAAGGGCGUAUACCCUAACCGGUAUCGUGGGUUCGAAUCCCAUCCUCUUCGCCA